CCUACGGGAGGCAGCAGUGAGGAAUAUUGGUCAAUGGACGAGAGUCUGAACCAGCCAAGUAGCGUGAAGGAUGACUGCCCUAUGGGUUGUAAACUUCUUUUAUAUGGGAAUAAAACGUUCCACGUGUGGGAUUUUGUAUGUACCAUAUGAAUAAGGAUCGGCUAACUCCGUGCCAGCAGCCGCGGUAAUACGGAGGAUCCGAGCGUUAUCCGGAUUUAUUGGGUUUAAAGGGAGCGUAGGUGGAUUGUUAAGUCAGUUGUGAAAGUUUGCGGCUCAACCGUAAAAUUGCAGUUGAAACUGGCAGUCUUGAGUACAGUAGAGGUGGGCGGAAUGCGUGGUGUAGCGGUGAAAUGCUUAGAGAUCACGAAGAACUCCGAUUGCGAAGGCAGUUCACUGGACUGCAACUGACACUGAGGCUCGAAAGUGUGGGUAUCAAACAGGAUUAGAUACCCUUGUAGUC
rnacentral:rRNA from 1 species